CGCCAUGGAAACCCAGGGUGAUAAAAAGUGAGCCGCAUAUCUUAGCGAUGCGGAGUUAGAGGUUAUUAUGAAUGUUUAUGAGGAAUAUAACAAAACAAAACAAAAAAAAAGGAACUGCUGCAUCGGACCGAGAGUUGGUUUGGAAAAAAGUAACAGAUCAAGUAAAUGCUCGUUACGACAUGGCGAAAUCAGCGCUGCAGUUCACAACGUGUAGUGCCUCCCAGGGACAUGGCGGAAGAGGACUACACUUCCCAGCCACACCCGCACUCGAGUUCGCUGGAGUUCUGAUUACGAACACCUGCAGACAUCUAAAGUUAUAUAAGGGCCUCGUUAGCAUCAGCCGCUUGCGAAGUAACCGCUCAGCAGCCUCGUCUCUGUUGGUUAACCAAGCCUGAUUAUUAUUGGAAGUGUCUUCCCGGUUCUCGAUUUCCACUUGUCUUUUGACUACACUUUUGCCUACGCCCCUGUCAACCUGUUUUACCUGCAUAAUCCCGACUCUCAUCUCGUUCCGUGUUCCACCUGGUGUCCGUCACACGUCAUCUCCUCGCCUGCCCACGUUUGUCUCCGUCAGCGUCACGUAACAAUGCUUGCUUAUGGACACAUUGUAUUAAUUGACCCUCCUGCAACAGCAGAUCCUACCACAGAUGAAAAUGAUUAUUGUCUUCAGGUAUUGUUUCUGUUUGCUAGACCAAACAGCAUUAGUCAUUUGCACUGUAGGAUGAAGAUGAAGAGACCAGCUCUGCUGUAACAGAGAUACAAAAAAAAGAUUCUGGGAGGCCCACAGAGGUAUAACAUAUAAUGUAUUCCCUUUCUGCAAUGUGAUCCCUUUCUCAUUGUUUAUUAUGGCUGGGGAUUCCUGUACAGAGGAGGGUCCAUCUACCUCCACACAGAAUCUUGGAAGUAAAAAAAAAUUGUUUGCAGUUGUCCUGAUUAAAAAUAUUUGGUCUGUGUAUUUAUUACAGACAUUUAUGAUAUCAAUCAUAUUGGAUUAUCAUUCUGUCUUCCUAGCUGCCUGCAAAGAAGCUGUACAAGGUACAUCUUCAAAUGCAAAUGAUAAAAAUUGGCAUGGAGAUGGAACUUCUGCAACUUUAAAUGGAGGGAAAAAGGCUAACAUAAAAAGGACACUAUUCAAAAGUGCACUCCAUGCUCCGUCAGCUCUCUGAAACAAACUAACCUGGAACAUAACCUGCUUCAGAUAGUAAGUUGCUGUGGCUACUUGCAUACCCUGAAAAUUUCCUCCAUUUUUUGGAACAGACAUUUGAGGUUAUUUGUUUACUCUGAGUAAACUUACCUAGGUAAGUUGCAUAACCUGCUUUCUGGAAUACCCCCUGGGCUAAACUGUCACGUUAUGGAGGCAUAAAUAAAUAAGAUAAAUAAACAACCAAAAUUGUGGAAACCAGAACCAAACACACACACACAUGAGACACUAGGCACAACAAAGACUAUAAGCAAGGCUGUAGCGCACACACUACCACACAUAUGCUUAACAACGAAAACAAGAAAAGUUUAACAGAAACACACAGAAGCUAGACUUAUAAAGCUUGGUGCUGAUCAUGGAUAACACAAAGCAGGUGUGGGUGAGACAUGUGAUAGGGUCAUGUGAUGUGACAUUCAAACAAUAUUUUACAACUCAAUACUUUUCCUGUGUUUAGGGUCAAUUAGAGUAUUUAUUUUAAUUCCAUAAGAGGUCAUUUCACAAUAUUAUAUAAUGUACACAUUUAUUUAAACCUUUAUUCACUAUAUCACAUUUUCAGUGGGUCAAACAUUUGUUACUAUUUGGUGCUAUUGCCUGGUGGUUUCCACAAGAUUCUCGCAAUACUUUGCCAGAAUUUUUGCCUAUUCCUCCUGACGGAACUAGGGUAACUAAGUCCUUACUUCUUGCUCGGGCAUGAUUUUUUUCAGCUCAGUCCACUAAUUUUCUAUGGUAUUCAGCUUAGGGCUUUGUGAAGGCCACUCCAAAGCUUUGACUUCAUAGUAUUUAAGCCAUUUUGCCACAACUGUCGAGCUAUGCUGCUGGAAGACCUGGCUGCAAACAAGUUUUAACUUUCUGGUUGACGUCCUGAGGUGUUGCUUCAGUAUUUCUAGAUAAUCCUCCAUCCUCACGAUGCCAUCUAUUUUCUGAUGUGCACCAGUCCCUUUUAUAGCAAAACACCCACAGAGCAUGAUGCUGCCACCUCCAUGCUUUACAGUUGGGAUACUGAUCUGUGGAUUAAAAGCCACACACUAUUUUCUUCCAGUCAUAGUUCUGAUCAUUAUGGCCAAACAGCUAUUUUUUUUUCAUCUGACCAGAGAAUGGUCUUUUUAUCCUGGUCCUGGAGUGGCGGCUACUUCCUUGCACAAAAGCUUAUCAGGCCAUGGCAAUAUAGGACUCCCACAUGUGCACUCCGGGUUAAUUCCUAAUUAUGACAAUUGGCCAAACAGAAGCUUCUAGAAGUCCAUCCAUCCAUCUUCUAUACCGCUUAUCCUUCUUCAGGGUCACGGGGGAACCUGGAGCCUAUCCCAGGAAGCAUCGGGCAAAAGGCAGGGUACACCCUGGACAGGAUGCCAAUCCAUCGCAGGGCACAAUCCUUCUAAAAGUAAUUUCAUCAAUUUCUGGAAUCUUCUGGACUGUUUAAAGGGACAGUCAACUUGGUGUAUAUAAUAUUUUGACCCACUAGAAUUCUAAUAUAGUGAAUUAAAUCAAAUCUGUAAAAUAAACAUAUAUCUUAUAGAUGGUUUUAAAAUUACCUCUGAUGUGAAUUGGUACUAAUUGACUUGCCAAAGGAAAUGUAUGAAAUGAAAUUAGUUGUGAACAACUAAUGGAAUGAAAUUAGUUGUGAAAAAUUAAAAUUGAAUAUCUUUAGCCUAGGUGUAUGUAGACCUUUAGCCUCAAGUGUAAAUACAUUGAGCUCACUAAAGACAUUCCAUAGGAAUUUGCUAAUGGUCUUGAUAAAAUUUUAAAUCUUACUUGAUUCUUACACUCCAAAAUACAUGUUACUUUGUCAACUCCACAGUCUCAGUGUUUAAGUCUAGGCUUAAAACGUAUUUGUUUACUCAAGUCUACCCUGACUAGAUUCUGUUCUACUACUUCGCAGUCAUAAUAAUUUUUUUUCUCCCUCUUUCCUUUCGCCGAGCCCCACACAAAUUUAUGGAGAUACUAGAGAUCCAGAUCCUUUCUGCCUCUGGAUGGAGCUCAAAUCUUCUCUAAUUCCAGACUGCUGGAACUACGGCUGGCCAUACAGACUUCAUAUAAAUCCAUAAUGAACUUUUUCACACUAACUGUUGUUACCCAGAUGAGGAUGGGUUCCCUUCUGAGUCGGGUUCCUCUCAAGGUUUCUUCCUCUUAAAACACCUUAGGGAGUUUUUCCUUGCCACCGUCGCCACUCAGUGGCUUGCUCAGUUGGGAUAAAUUCACACCUUUAAUAUCUGUAUACCAUGUUGAUAUUUCUGUAAAGC
ensembl:lncRNA